rnacentral:lncRNA from 1 species
AACAUGUUACAUUAAAGAUGCUCUAAGAGCAAUUGCUAUGAAGGUAAAACAAUAUUGAAAAUUCUAAUUAAACAUUUACCAAGCCAACUAGGGGCGCGUCUAGCAUGAGAAAGGGCUCCAUGUCUCUCACCGUGCGAAGAUAAGGUGGUGCGUCCGAUAUAGGGGGUUUUUGAGAUAUGCGAGGGAGGACCAAGGGCAUGCACACACUGGAUUAAAUUUAAAAAAAAAAAAAAAAACAAGCGACACUGUUCUUUCUCCCUCUUGAUCUCCGUCGCACAGUACCUUAAAGUGCCCACCAUCUCCGCCAUCACGUCCCUCUUGCGCUCUUCGUCGUCCGAUCGCCGGUGAGGUGGUGCAUGAUCUGCACCUUGUGACGGACGUCAUUGAGAAAGACGGAACCGAUGGACGUUGUGGAGGAAGACGAAACCGCUCCUUUUAUUUUAUUUUUAAAAUUUAAUCCAAUAUAAACAUCCACACAAUAGUUCUACACGCAUCUUAAAAAAAAAGACACAUAUCCUACUACUACAGAAUCUUUGGCACCGUGGGAGACAUGUUGGGUUCCCCAACGCUAGCUUGCGUCUGCCAAGUAGCUCAACCUUUCCCACGUCUACUAAGUGUUUGAUUCAUCCCAAAAAACAGCCAUCAUAUGCACAUCAAGCACUAUUGAUCAUCAUGUAGCCUUCGGUAUCAAUGAAUUACUCUUUAUGAGCAUAGAACCCAUGUAUCAAUUGACGUUUGUCACAUCCUGUAAUAAACCCCUUUAAUUAAGAGACAUCAC